rnacentral:rRNA from 1 species
AUACGGAGGGUGCAAGCGUUACUCGGAAUCACUGGGCGUAAAGCGCGCGCAGGCGGCUAUUUAAGUUGGAUGUGAAAGCCUAUGGCUCAACCAUAGAACUGCAUCCAAAACUAUUUAGCUAGAGUGUGGGAGAGGAAGAUGGAAUUAGUUGUGUAGGGGUAAAAUCCGUAGAGAUAACUAGGAAUACCAAAAGCGAAGGCAAUCUUCUGGAACACUACUGACGCUGAGGCGCGAAAGCGUGGGGAGCAAACGGGAUUAGAAACCCCAGUAGUCC